rnacentral:rRNA from 1 species
CCUACGGGGGGCUGCAGUGAGGAAUAUUGGUCAAUGGGCGAGAGCCUGAACCAGCCAAGUCGCGUGAGGGAGUACUGCCCUAUGGGUUGUAAACCUCUUUUGUCGGGGAGCAAAAGCCGGACGUGUCCGGCUGUGAGAGUACCCGAAGAAAAAACAUCGGCUAACUCCGUGCCAGCAGCCGCGGUAAUACGGAGGAUGCGAGCGUUAUCCGGAUUUAUUGGGGUUAAAGGGUGCGCAGGCGGAUUUUUAAGUCAGCGGUCAAAUCGUGGGGCUCAACCCCAUCCAGCCGUUGAAACUGGGGAUCUAGAGUGUGCGAGAGGUAUGCGGAAUGCGUGGUGUAGCGGUGAAAUGCAUAGAUAUCACGCAGAACCCCGAUUGCGAAGGCAGCAUACCGGUGCACAACUGACGCUCAGGCACGAAAGCGUGGGUAUCGAACAGGAUUAGAUACCCUGGUAGUC